rnacentral:rRNA from 1 species
UACGUAGGGUGCGAGCGUUAAUCGGAAUUACUGGGCGUAAAGCGUGCGCAGGCGGUUCGACAAGUCCGAUGUGAAAGCCCCGGGCUCAACCUGGGAAUGGCAUUGGAAACUGGCGAGCUUGAGUGCAGGAGAGGAACGCGGAAUUCCAGGUGUAGCGGUGAAAUGCGUAGAUAUCUGGAGGAACACCGGUGGCGAAGGCGGCGUUCUGGACUGCAACUGACACUGAAGAACGAAAGCCAGGGGAGCAAACGGG